rnacentral:rRNA from 1 species
UACGUAGGGUGCGAGCGUUGUCCGGAAUUACUGGGCGUAAAGAGCUCGUAGGUGGUUUGUCGCGUUGUUCGUGAAAACUCACAGCUCAACUGUGGGCGUGCGGGCGAUACGGGCAGACUAGAGUUCGGUAGGGGAGACUGGAAUUCCUGGUGUAGCGGUGAAAUGCGCAGAUAUCAGGAGGAACACCGGUGGCGAAGGCGGGUCUCUGGGCCGAUACUGACGCUGAGGAGCGAAAGCGUGGGGAGCGAACAGG